rnacentral:rRNA from 1 species
GAUGAACGCUGGCGGCGUGCCUAAUACAUGCAAGUCGAGCGAACGGACGAGAAGCUUGCUUCUCUGAUGUUAGCGGCGGACGGGUGAGUAACACGUGGAUAACCUACCUAUAAGACUGGGAUAACUUCGGGAAACCGGAGCUAAUACCGGAUAAUAUUUUGAACCGCAUGGUUCAAAAGUGAAAGACGGUCUUGCUGUCACUUAUAGAUGGAUCCGCGCUGCAUUAGCUAGUUGGUAAGGUAACGGCUUACCAAGGCAACGAUGCAUAGCCUACCUGAGAGGGUGAUCGGCCACACUGGAACUGAGACACGGUCCAGACUCCUACGGGAGGCAGCAGUAGGGAAUCUUCCGCAAUGGGCGAAAGCCUGACGGAGCAACGCCGCGUGAGUGAUGAAGGUCUUCGGAUCGUAAAACUCUGUUAUUAGGGAAGAACAUAUGUGUAAGUAACUGUGCACAUCUUGACGGUACCUAAUCAGAAAGCCACGGCUAACUACGUG